rnacentral:tRNA from 1 species
GGGCGUGUAGCUCAGCUGGGAGAGCGCCUCCAUGGCAUGGAGGAGGUCGCAGGUUCGAUCCCNNCUGUCACGUCCACCA